UCAGUUACCACUCACCACUGCCAUUGCAUUCUGAAAGUGGAUGUUGGCGUCGGUAGAGUAAUCUUUCUUUGGCGAUAGCAUUGAAUUCAGGUGAUAGAAGCAUCGAUCUUUGUUGUUAAUCACAACUAAGGUGUAGUGGUGGCUGGACCCGUGAUAUACUGGAACAAAAACCAAGUCCUUACUAAAGAUGGAUCACAGAGGAUUAAUAAUGGAAAGCUCUAUAUCCAAUUCAUUACAUUUGAAUUCUCCCUGUUUUCCUCCUCCAGCAAGGAACUCCUUCAAUUUUUGUUCAUGUACAACAGCCACACACUGUAUUUAUAAAAGCAAGUAAGAUUGUGUUAACUGAAAAAAGUAAGGGAGAAGACCGUGGUGCAGCGACACACUGCUAUUUCACGUUACACUACUUACCGCUGCCUCUAUGUCUAGGAAUCUAACCGAGACAUUCUUCUUUUUCACUUCCUCUUUCAACAUUUGCAGGUACACCCUGAUUGUCUGCAUGUACAACAUAAGUCAUAAAUUCACAAAUUACAACAAAGAAUACGUCUUUGGGUACUCUAACAUCAACUUUACUGGGUUAGUAAGACAUAAAUUUUUCUCACAUUAGAUGUUAUCUCUCCUUCUUGGAGAAAGGAAGACCCUAGAUUAGUCUCCAAAACAGCAUCCUUAUACCAUCUUAACAUAGAAAAGAAAUCAGAAUUAGUUCCUUAAAUCUUUUCCACACACCUUCUCUUUGCACUUGAAGCAACCUUAUAACUAAUUUCAAAACCAUAAGUAGACUUGAAAUUGUUCAUGAUCUCAACAGGCUUCAAACCAAGAUUUAAACAAACAUUUGACUCAAUGCAGGUCCUAACAAUUUUAGACCCUAACUGCCGAUGACGAAUGGAGUCAAUCAAGUCAGAAAGGUUCAGAAGUGCAUUAUGUUGAACAAUAAAUCCAUUUUCAAAAUAGAUAAAUUGAGCAACCAAAGAAUCAACCAUGUUCCUGCAUAAAAAAAGAGUUCACAAAAAUUACUGACCCCAAUAAAUUACAUCACAAUUUACCAACCAUAAACCCUUAAUUCAUUUAUUAACUGGAAUAGGAACAAAAAUUCAUUCACACAAGUCAAAAUCAGAAAAUAGGAAAAAGUAGAAGCACAAAGCAAAAAUCUGACAUUUCAAUAAAAUAAAAUAAAAACAAAAACAGAAACAGAAAUUUAAAUCAAAACUAUAAACACACAUAUCACAAUAUCACAUCAUAAACUCUAAAGGACGGAUAUAAUUGAAAUAAUUAUCGCUAAGAAGACGACGCGGGAGUUUAAUAAAAGUACCUACCCGGAAGACACGGAUUCAAUUUGUUUAUACAAAGAAAUGACUGUUGUCUGUUGCAAAGUGAUGGAAACAGAUCUGAUAGAAAUGGAGAUGAGGCAAAUCGAGGAAGAUUCAUCCCUCCUUUGACAUAAGUUAUCAAUCUAGAUCUCAUUUGAUGCUUUGGCUUCUAGGUAGAGAUUAACAUAGAGA
rnacentral:lncRNA from 1 species